rnacentral:misc_RNA from 1 species
GAUGAAGAACGCAGCGAAAUGCGAUGAGUAAUGUGAAUUGCAGAAUUCCGUGAAUCAUCGAAUCUUUGAACGCACAUUGCGCCCCCUGGUAUUCCGGGGGGCAUGCCUGUCCGAGCGUCAUUGCAACCUUCAAGCGCGGCUUGUGUGUUGGGUCUCGUCCCCCGUGGACGGGCCCGAAAGGCAGUGGCGGCGUCCCGACAUGGUGCCCGAGCGUAUGGGAAUCCUCUUCCGCUCGAAUCGGCCCAUGCGGCGCUGGUCGUAACCAAAUUUUUUACCGGUUGACCUCGGAUCAGGUAGGGAUACCCGCUGAACUUAAGCAUAUCAAUAAGCGGAGGA